GCUGUCAGAUCGAGGGCGCCGUGUCUGACUUUCGCCUCGCAGCUUCGCGAGCUCUGCUUCUUUGGCCACCAGCAGAGGCUUGCAGUUGCUGCUGGAGGCCCCCCGCAUCCUGGACGGAGGCAGCCGAAGCUAGGCGAGCGGGAAGGCCCUGGCUCUGCCAGUCUUGCGGCUGGAUCGUCUGAGUUCGUGGCCCGGUCUCAUCGUCGUCCGGCUCAUCAAGCCGCUCGGUCAGAGGGAUCGUCUUUUCGGCCCCAAGUUUCAGCGCCUUCCUCUGCUUUUGCUCUUCAGUGGUCCUUGGAGGAUGCUGGGUUUCCUCCUCCAGGGAGGCGAGCCUCGUGUCUCCUUCCUCGAGGCUUUCCCGCAGAGUUGCGGUGUCUCUCCGAGCUGGAGUUGCCGGUCUCUCCUUCUCGGGUGGUCCGGUCGCCCGAACGGCUUCCGUCUCCGUUCUCCCCGAGUCGGGUAAGUCAAGGCAGCUUUUGCGU